rnacentral:misc_RNA from 1 species
UCGUAACAAGGUUUCCGUAGGUGAACCUGCGGAAGGAUCAUUACUGAGUGAGGGUCCCUCGGGGCCCAACCUCCCACCCGUGUAUACCGUACCUUGUUGCUUCGGCGAGCCCGCCCCCUUCUCGUUAGGGGGGCACAGCGCUCGCCGGAGACACCAACGUGAACACUGUCUGAAGUUUUGUCGUCUGAGUCGAUUGUAUCGCAAUCAGUUAAAACUUUCAACAAUGGAUCUCUUGGUUCCGGCAUCGAUGAAGAACGCAGCGAAAUGCGAUAAUUAAUGUGAAUUGCAGAAUUCAGUGAAUCAUCGAGUCUUUGAACGCACAUUGCACCCCCUGGUAUUCCGGGGGGUAUGCCUGUCCGAGCGUCAUUGCUGCCCUCAAGCACGGCUUGUGUGUUGGGUCGUCGUCCCCCCCCAGGGGGACGGGCCCGAAAGGCAGCGGCGGCACCGCGUCCGGUCCUCGAGCGUAUGGGGCUUUGUCACCCGCUCUUGUAGGCCCGGCCGGCUGCUGGCCGACGCUGAAAAGCAACCAACUAUUUUUCCAGGUUGACCUCGGAUCAGGUAGGGAUACCCGCUGAACUUAAGCAUAUCAAUA